UACAGAGGGUGCGAGCGUUAAUCGGAAUUACUGGGCGUAAAGGGUGCGUAGGUGGUUAUGUAAGUUAGGUGUGAAAUUCCUGGCUUAACCUGGGGACUGCGCCUGAUACUGUGUAGCUAGAGUACUGUAGAGGAAAGUGGAAUUUCCGGUGUAGCGGUGAAAUGCGUAGAUAUCGGAAGGAACAUCGGUGGCGAAGGCGACUUUCUGGACAGCUACUGACACUGAGGCACGAAAGCAUGGGGAGCAAACAGG
rnacentral:rRNA from 1 species